rnacentral:rRNA from 1 species
GACGAACGCUGGCGGCGUGCUUAACACAUGCAAGUCGAACGGAAAGGCCCUGCUUGUGUGUGGUGCUCGAGUGACGAACGGGUGAGUAACACGUGAGUAACCUGCCCUUGACUUUGGGAUAACUUCAGGAAACUUGGUCUAAUACCCGAUAGGAGCUCCUGCUGCAUGGUGGGGGUUGGAAAGUUUCGGCGGUUGGGGAUGGACUCGCGGCUUAUCAGCUUGUUGGUGGGGUAGUGGCUGACAAAGGCUUUGACGGGUAGCCGGCAUGAGAGGGUGAACACGCACAUGGGGACUGCGAGACGCAGCAGAGUCGUAUGGGAGGCAGUAGUGGGGAGUAUUGCCCAGUAGGGGGAAGCCUGGUAAGGAGGCGCCGCGUGCGGGAUGACGGUCUUCGGGUUGUAAACCGCUUUCGCCUGUGACGAAGCGUGAGUGACGGUAAUGGGUAAAGAAGCACCGGCUAACUACGUG